CUGUAUCCCUGAAGAUUGAUUACCCCAUUGUUUUAAUGCAAUGAAGGAAAGCUAGUUUGAAAGUCAUUCCAGAAUGAGGGGGGAAAAAACAGGUAUCUAGAGUAAAAGGAGAAGGGGGGAAUGCACAAUUUGUGGUUUAACUUUACCUGGUUCUUAACCUUUCACUGUCCAUGAAAAGAGAAAAUACUCUCAAAGACGUAAUUUCCAUAUAUUUACAUAUGCCAACUAUUAUCAUACCAAAAAGUGGUUAGUUUUAAUUCUUAAGCAUGGACAUCUGUCUUGCUCUCCCUGUACCACCAGAGGCUAUCCAACAAUACACCCCCAUUCCACUGGUAUAAAAAGGGUGAAUGCACUGGUUGCUUUAGCAUUCUAAGUAUUGGCAUAAGAGUAUGGAGACAAUUUCCAUCUGUUAGGAUUCUGUGGCUAUUACCUGGGUGCAAGAAGGCUACCAGGCCACCUCAGGGUCAUUGUAGCAGCAGCAGAUUUAACUCAUAUCAAACACAGAAUUUUUGAGCUAAGAUGCUGACUAGACUUGAGCCAUCACUCCUGUCUUAGGAAUAAUGAAAUUCUGGCAUCUGAGCUAAAAGCUAUUGGGAUUGCAACUAAUAUUAUUUGGAGUUUUGAAUUCAAGUAUAGUUGUCUGAUGGAUCAUUAAGAUAGGAAUCCACCAUAAGAGGAAAAGCCACAAACUACUCAGAAUCCUGUAUUGGGACAGGUGAAGAUUCUUAUCUAGAAAAAAAUGGAAAGGGCAGUCUCAACACAGCUGGGAUGAGAUCCUUCUGACUUAUGAAAUUGUUAUCAUCAAGAAAGACAAGUGGUAGAUGUCAGGAGACUAACAAACAUUCAUGGGUCCUGGAAGGGGUGAGGAGAAUGAGAAGUGGGGAGAAGAAUGACACUGAAGCUGGCAGCCAUCAGAGACUAUUGGAAUACCACAAAUUACCCAAAAUGCCAUCUUCCAGCUGUCCAGAGACUAUGCUACAUGGAGAGAACCUUACCAAGUAUCAGGCUCCUUGGAAACAGAUAAAAUUCCACCAGCAGCCCUUUCCAUCACCACAACAACUCCAUCAUCAAGGCCAUUCCACUGCCUUCUUCCCUCUCUCAAUAAAGCUUUCUCCCUCACCAUGGAGAUUGUCUGUGCCAUUGAUUCUUUGGACAAGACCUCAUUCUUGUUCCCCAGCAUCAAUUUCACCUAGUUUUGAGAGGAUAUUUGUUGUUUUUGAAGAAUUUCUAAUAAAAUGGCAAACUGACCCAUCAACACAAAUGUCAAAGAAAAGAAAAUGGAAAUGAGAACCAAUGACUGGGCAUAACCUGCAUGUGUCUCCACCCAAGUUCCAUGUGUGUUUUGUUGGCCUUCUUUUUCCUUUUCUUCUUUCUGCCUUGUUCUCUUUUUUGGUAUUCUGAUAUCCAUAACCUACUACUAGUUUAGGACCACUGAGCUGCUUUUGGAAUCUGAAGAUACC
rnacentral:lncRNA from 1 species